ACUGCUUUAUGACCUCACCUCAGACGUGUCACUUCUGUUGCAUUCUGAUCCAACCAGUCACCAAGAGCAGCCAGUUGAGCUUUCACCACCCGGCUCCUCCACCACCAUCCUGUUGGACUGCCAGUCAUUCACCACCCUCAGCUCCUCCACCGCCUUCCUGUUACACUGCUGGGCCCUUCACACACUCGACUCCUCGACUGCUCUGCAGGUGGACUGACCGGCCCUGACUGUCCUAGGCUUCUCCACUACCCAACAGUUGAACUGGCUGGCAAAUCACCACCCUCGGGUCCUCCACCACCCUCUGGUUGGACAGGUCUUUCACCAUCCUCAACUCCUCCACCGCCAUUCAGAUGGGAUGGAAAGCCAAACAUCACCCUCAGUUGGACUGCUGGACCGAUCAUCACCAUUCCAACUGAAGCUUCCUGAUAAUGCAAACCUCGGAACCAGCAGAUAAUAGGUCAAGUUCUUGGAUGCCUCUUCACACUUGGUAUACUCUAAUUGGAGCUUUGCGCUUUUGCUUUCAACCUGUCCCAAUCUCGGCAAUUGCUGGAAUUUAGGGA